rnacentral:lncRNA from 1 species
CCCAGAAGUCUUGUUCAGCCAGGUGCAAGCACUCUCGUUUGGGAGAACAGUGUUCCUUGAGAAAGAGGAGUCAAAUCCAAAAAGGACAUUAGUUGAGACUCUGAAGACCAUCCCUAUUUUGGGAAAGCUCAAGAUGGGUGGCAGCAGGACCCUGGUUCCCAUUAAGGAGGCCUGAGUUUCCAGCUGCUCUGCUCCCAUUGCAGCAAGGCAAUGGACAUUUGAAUAAGGGAAUCAAGAACCCUGCACAGCACUCCUGUUCUGGGGCCCAGGACAUUGACUACAAAGAACCAUGUUUUCCAAUGUGUGGUGCCUGAAUCAGCAUUGAGAUCAGCAUUAACCGGGAACAUUUUCAGAAAGCAAAUUUUCAAGCUGCCUUCUUUCCUCCUCACCCAUCGAGACCUGUGAAGUCAGCGAUAUGUGUUUUGCGAACACAUAAAUCUCCUUCUAGGAGAUUCGAAGCUGAUUUAGUCGAGAAGAGAAACAAAGACACAUU